CAUGCAAGUCGAGGGGAAACGACAUCGAAAGCUUGCUUUUGAUGGGCGUCGACCGGCGCACGGGUGAGUAACGCGUAUCCAACCUGCCCACCACUUGGGGAUAACCUUGCGAAAGUAAGACUAAUACCCAAUGACGUCUCUAGAAGACAUCUGAAAGAGAUUAAAGAUUUAUCGGUGAUGGAUGGGGAUGCGUCUGAUUAGCUUGUUGGCGGGGUAACGGCCCACCAAGGCGACGAUCAGUAGGGGUUCUGAGAGGAAGGUCCCCCACAUUGGAACUGAGACACGGUCCAAACUCCUACGGGAGGCAGCAGUGAGGAAUAUUGGUCAAUGGACGAGAGUCUGAACCAGCCAAGUAGCGUGCAGGAUGACGGCCCUAUGGGUUGUAAACUGCUUUUAUAAGGGAAUAAAGUGAGUCUCGUGAGACUUUUUGCAUGUACCUUAUGAAUAAGGACCGGCUAAUUCCGUGCCAGCAGCCGCGGUAAUACGGAAGGUCCGGGCGUUAUCCGGAUUUAUUGGGUUUAAAGGGAGCGUAGGCCGGAGAUUAAGCGUGUUGUGAAAUGUAGACGCUCAACGUCUGCACUGCAGCGCGAACUGGUUUCCUUGAGUACGCACAAAGUGGGCGGAAUUCGUGGUGUAGCGGUGAAAUGCUUAGAUAUCACGAAGAACUCCGAUUGCGAAGGCAGCUCACUGGAGCGCAACUGACGCUGAAGCUCGAAAGUGCGGGUAUCGAACAGGAUUAGAUACCCUGGUAGUCCGCACGGUAAACGAUGGAUGCCCGCUGUUGGUCUGAAUAGGUCAGCGGCCAAGCGAAAGCAUUAAGCAUCCCACCUGGGGAGUACGCCGGCAA
rnacentral:rRNA from 1 species